GACGAACGCUGGCGGCGUGCCUAAUACAUGCAAGUAGAACGAGUGGCGGACGGGUGAGUAAUGUCUGGGAAACUGCCCGAUGGAGGGGGAUAACUACUGGAAACGGUAGCUAAUACCGCAUACCAUCGGAUGUGCCCAGAGGGGAUUAGCUAGUAGGUGGUGUAACGGCUCACCUAGGCGACGAUCCCUAGCUGGUCUGAGAGGAUGACCAGCCACACUGGAACUGAGACACGGUCCAGACUCCUACGGGAGGCAGAAGUGGGGAAUAUUGCACAAUGGGCGCAAGCCGGAUGCAGCCAUGCCGCGGGUAUGAAGAAGGCCUUCGGGUUGUAAAGUACUUUCAGCGAGGAGGCGUUACUCGCAGAAGAAGCACCGGCUAACUCCGUGCCAGCAGCCGCGGUAAUAC
rnacentral:rRNA from 1 species